UACGGGGGGAGCAAGCGUUGUUCGGAAUUACUGGGCGUAAAGGGCUCGUAGGCGGCCAACUAAGUCGGAUGUGAAAUCCCCAGGCUUAACUUGGGAACUGCAUCCGAUACUGGAUGGCUUGAAUCCGGGAGAGGGAUGCGGAAUUCCAGGUGUAGCGGUGAAAUGCGUAGAUAUCUGGAGGAACACCGGUGGCGAAGGCGGCAUCCUGGACCGGCAUUGACGCUGAUGAGCGAAAGCCAGGGGAGCAAACGGG
rnacentral:rRNA from 1 species